rnacentral:rRNA from 1 species
AUUGAACGCUGGCGGCAUGCCUUACACAUGCAAGUCGAACGGCAGCACGGGAGCAAUCCUGGUGGCGAGUGGCGAACGGGUGAGUAAUACAUCGGAACGUGCCCAGUCGUGGGGGAUAACGUAGCGAAAGCUACGCUAAUACCGCAUACGAUCUGUGGAUGAAAGCGGGGGACCGUAAGGCCUCGCGCGAUUGGAGCGGCCGAUGUCAGAUUAGGUAGUUGGUGGGGGUAAAGGCCCCACCAAGCCGACGAUCUGUAGCUGGUCUGAGAGGACGACCAGCCACACUGGGACUGAGACACGGCCCAGACUCCUACGGAGGCAGCAGUGGGAAUUUGGACAAUGGGCGCAAGCCUGAUCCAGCAAUGCCGCGUGCAGGAU